AGGAAAGGACAUCAAACGAGACUCCGCUAGUAGUGGCGAGCGAACGCGGAAGAGGCCUGUGGUCUCAGGAUAAGAACGGAAACAGUCUGGAAAGGCUGGCCAUAGUGGGUGAUAGCCCCGUACCGGUAGAAAUUCCUGAGAUCCUUGAGUAAGGCGGGACACGUGAAAUCCUGUCUGAAGAUGGGGGGACCACCCUCCAAGCCUAAGUACUCCUCGAAGACCGAUAGUGCACCAGUACCGUGAGGGAAAGGUGAAAAGCACCCCGAUGAGGGGAGUGAAACAGACCUGAAACCGGAUGCCUACAAGCAGUAGGAGCUCGAAAGAGUGACUGCGUACCUUUUGUAUAAUGGGUCAGCGAGUUCGUCUAUGCAGCAAGCUUAAGCCGAUAGGUGUAGGCGCAGCGAAAGCGAGUCUGAAGAGGGCGUCAGAGUUGCAUGGAUGAGACCCGAAACCGAGUGAUCUAGCUAUGGGCAGGUUGAAGGUGCAGUAACAUGCACUGGAGGACCGAACCCAC
rnacentral:rRNA from 1 species